ACCAGGAGCUGGGAGGCCUAGACUCUGCUGACCAUGGCAAGGAGCAAACACUCAGAACCUCAAGAUCCUCACCUCCAAAAUCAGGGUUUAUGCUAGCACAGCAAUUCUCAAAGUAUGGCCCCCAGACAGCGGCGUCAGGACCACCUGGAACUUGUUACAGGAACAGAUGCUCAGGCCCCACCCAGACCUACUCAUCAGAACCUAAGGGAGGCAGGGGAGAGGAGCCCAGAAGUCAGUUUUUAACAUGGUCUUCGGGCAGGACUGGUGCAGGCUAAGGGUUGAGAACCACUGAACUGGAAGAUCUCUAAAAUUCCUGCCAGGGAGGAUAAACCUACCAGACGUGUGGUCAUUAUGGUCGACACCACAGUUGGAGCCAACUUGGCUCCUAGGGGAAAGAGACCAGGCCUAAGUUCAAGCCUGUGAUGGUCUGAAAAAGCACAGCCUCUCCCCUCACAACGUCCUCUAACAGAAAAGCCUCCUGCAGGACAUGACAGCUGGGCAGAAGGAGGCUGGGAAUGGGGCAGGAGAAAACCACAGCGGGACAGAGUGUGAGAAUGGAUCAUCACACAGUGCAGGCCUAUGGAGACAAAUCCAAGCUGAGGCUCAAGGAAAAGAAACACAAAUUGGAAAUCAGGCCUGAGACCUGAUCAUGCAUGAGGUCUGCUUAUAAAAAUGAUCAUUUGUGCUGAGUACAGAAAGGUCACUGACGCGACCACAGCCGGUUCCGCACCCAUCAACUUGGCUGAGAGUGGACUCAGACCCAACCGGCCAGUUUCCUUGUGGGCAGGGCUAAUUGGGCGGGAUCUGGAGCCUCACCAAGGGGGGUUUUGUGGGCUGAACUUUCACCGUAAGUGACGCAAGGUUUGGUUUCACUUACUAUUUGUGGACGAGUCCUUCCUUCGCUGCUUUUUCAUUCAGGGAAAGGUUUUGCAUAAUGUUACAUCCGGGUUUCUUUCUCAGGACGUCCUUGUCACGUGACCAGA
ensembl:lncRNA